GAAAACGUGCGAGUCCGGGAGAUGCGAUGUCAGCUCCUGCCUGAGGAACGCCUGGGCUGGAGGGCUUGCGGUUGCCUUGUCAGAGCGGGUCUUUCGGGGGCCACUCCCCGCGUUGGUGACACCCUGGGGACAGGGGUGUUACUUUCCUUUAGGUGAUGCCCACUAACUUUGCAGGAACCAAUGGAGGAGCCAAUCAGGAGCAUGCCCCACUUUUUCUCUUCCUUAUCUUCUAAAAGGGACAAAGUAUUUCCAUGGAACCCUCAAGGCACAGGGAGAAGAAAACAGUCUAUGUUAUAAAAAUCUCUUUUGUAUACAUUAUGAACCGCCAUAUCAGGAAAUCUAUGAACAAUCUGAAAAUUGCUCAGAAGGCUGAGUGUGAGAAAGCUGUACUGUAUCAAAGAAAGCGUCCAGAGGACACAUUUUCAAAAGGGAAAAUUGCCAGCACAGAGCACUGUGGACAAUCAACAUGAAAACAGGGGCUGAUAUAAUCACAGCUAAAGGAACAAAUGUUAAGCGUUCUCCCUUCAGCUCAGCUGGCCUAUUAUACCUCUGAAUACCCAGGCUUACAAUGCCUCCCCUCCCUGCCUCCAAUUCCAGAAGUGUCAGACAGGAGACACAGUGCCAGCAAAAAACCUUCCACCGAUCUCUUGUUAGCUAACUGCGGUGUUUUGUUCCGUGGUUACAUGUCUGCACAGGCCGUCCUUGUGUCAGUCAUAAUUACCACCUGUUCGCCCGCUCCCUUCAGGUUCCAUCACCUCUGCGGCAUUAAGCAGCCAGCGGCAGGAAGCAGUGUGGAUUGCCCAGGAGCAGCGACUGUCAGGCUCUGGGUUUCAGAGUAUAAUUGCUGCCUGCACGCACAGAGCUCUGGUCUCUUCCCCUCCUCCCCCUGCCCUCCCCCGAUCGGAAAGGAAAACACCCAGCUGUACACAUUCUUUAGGCAGAGGAGAUCAGAGGCACAUCAGAUGUCAUCUUCUGACCAUGAAUCGGACCUGAGCUCUAACACAAACAUGCCAUUCUGUGACCAAAAAUAAAAGUUCAAUUUUUUAAAAACUGUACAGACCGCACCUCCUUGCCUCCGUUUAGUGCUAAAUAGUACUAAAUAGUGCUCCCAGCUGCAUAGAUUGUUUUCUUUUUCCUAGCAUUAUGCUCUGAGGUUUUUGAUUAGAGACUUUCUUAAAAAUGAUGUUCAGAUUGGAUCGUUGCAUCUUUCCCGACUCGUUCUAAGAUCAUACUGAGCAAAUAACAGAUAGCACUAGCUAAUAGGAAUGCAGCACUUAGCGCGGGACAGGCAUUAAGCAUUCUGCGUUUAAGUACAUAAUUUAGUCUUCAUGAUGCCCUAAUCUGGUAGCUACCAUUUUCAUUCCCUUUCAUGGGUGACAAGAUCAAAACAUAGAAUGGUGAAGCUCUACCCGCUCCUUAACUGUGCUAUUAUCUUUCCUUUCCUCCAAACCUUUGUACCUGAGGUAUUCGUAGUGCUGGGCCUUUCCUUCCCAUAAAGCUAAUUCCUGCACAUGCUAAGAACUCAUCUCAAAGUCAAGUUGCUGGGAAAGCCCUUCCUGACCUCAUCCCCUAUUCCGAAUUAAAUAUUUUAAAUGUUCUUAUGGACUUGAGCUGAUAUGACUGGUGAUCUGUUUAUUUCUAUCAUUGGCAUAACUGUUAUUUAUGAUACCAUAAUUGUUGGUGUUAUGUCUAUUACUUUCUUAUGGCUUGGGCCUAUAAAUCUCCCAAAUAAUUUAGUUCCCCGAGUCAAUCUCUUCUGACUCAGGACGAGUUUAACAUCUAUGUAACUAUUAGCAGGAAAAAGAUGAUGGAAAUUAUGGCACUUUUUACACUGUCUUUUUUUUUUCCCCCCUUAAAUUUGCCAAAAUAUGGGGACUUGGACUUUAUAUGGUUAUCAUGUAGUACCAGUCAUGAAUGUUUAUUACUGACACAAUAUUGCUCGGGAAGAGAAUAUUCCUUAGAAUUAUUAAAAUGUCAUAUUUAUGCAGAUAGAGUCUGUGAGUUCAAAGUGCAAUGCUUUCACUUGGGGACUUGACAGCAGUAGAGUCAUCCCAGGAGAGGAGGAUGGAAUUGCAUCGAGUAGGCCUAUGGUUCCCAAAGUUGGCCGGUCAUGAGAAUUGCCUGAAGAACUCUGAAAAAACAGAUUUCCUGGUAUCCCACCACCCCUGAAUCAGCAUGUUUGUAGGUGAAGCCAAGGAACAUGCAUUUGUCAAACUGCCCUAAGGUAAUUCUGAUGAUUGGCCUGUUUUUAGCUGUUUGAGGUGGUUUUCAGUGGUUUGGUUUGAGUAAUUACUCAAAGUACAUAAAAGCAAUCUUCUGAUGUGUGGACACAGGACCCCCAGAGAGGAUAAAAUAAACAGAUCACCAGUCAUAUCAGCAGCAUGAAGCAAAUGAAGAAGAAAUGUACAUUUUCUUCUGGUCAGGAUUCUCAAAAACAGGCUCAAUGAGAAUAACCUGGAGGAGCUUUUUUUUAUACAAGGCCUAUGCCCUGGGGCUCAUACUUGCCAAUUAAAUCAGCAUCUUAAAUCGGAGCACGACUCAGACAUUAAGAUUCUUUGAAAAGAAGCCAGAUGAUGCAGCCAGGUCAGGGGUGGAAUUAAUGGCACAUUCCAGAAAGUUCGAACCCAAGGUACUUCAGAAAUCAUCAUUUGCUGGGAAAACUGGACUUUCCCAAAGACUUUCCUUAGGACGCUACUUCAUCAGAUGCUCUGAAAACAGAAUUCUAUGAUCCAGUAUAUUUGGGGAUCCAGUAUAUUUGUCUCCUGUGUAUGCCCAUCUUUGAGGCUUAUGUGCCCAGUACAGAUCAGUGUCUCAAGACCUGUGACCAAGAAAACUGUGAGCUUGGUUUAAUUCAGUAUGUUCCCCCAGAAGCUACUUUUUCUUUUCAUGGCAUUUACCAGCAUCCACUGGAGCUGCAGGAGCAAUGACUCCAGCAAAUUUUAUUUAAACCAUGGCAACUCUUCAGAGUUUUCCUCAACCUCUUAAUUUAAAAUGAUUUUGUAUACUUAGAGAGAAAAAGGAUUCGUGUCAGAAAAUGCUGUCAUGAUUCUGUGGUGAUAGUUACUGUGACCCUGUCAGAAGAAGAAGAACAGCCAAACUUGCUAACAUUCCAGCUCAAGUGUUCUCUUGAAUGUUUCUGCAGUCAGAAGACGAAAGCAAUACAUUCAACAGGCAUGAGGAGAAACUACAAUGCAGCACUGGUUAAAGACUGAAUGAAUGAUUGGCCAUCACAGGAGUGGUAGGGAUAGUAGACAGCCCAGGCUUGCUAGUGCUGCCUCACUCAAGGGACUCCCCUCUCUGAGUGUGCUUCUUGGGUUGCCCCACCCCACCACUUUUCACUUGUACUUCCUUAGCCACAGAGAGGCCACAGAAACUGACAUCUGAGCCUCCUUCAUCCCACAGAAGCCAGUGCUUCUUUCCAUCUUGUGGUUGCCAGGGUCUUCAGGGAAUCCCAGCAGGGAAGACCUCACCUGAAUAGUACAGCCUUGCAAGGUAAAGUCUGCAUAGCCUGCCUCGUGGACCUUGACAAGUGGCAUUACCCUUCUGACUCUCUCUCACUUGAGUCUGCUGCUCAAGCCUUGUGCAUAUCUCUAGAAUCUAAAUUUCCCUUACUCAAAGCUAGUAGCAUGGACCAUGCUCUUGCCCACUCAAGUCAUAAGAUUUGGCUACCAUAAGAGGUUCUCCCCAAAUCCUUCAAAAACUUUUACUCUUUCAAAGGGUACUUAAAGGUUUUCUUGAAAAAAAAAUUUCCCUUAGAAAUAAAAGCUUUUCAGGUAACAUAUUUGCCAUAAUGUCCAUGUUCUCAAUUCUUUCCUUAGAAGGCAGUCAUGUUUACACACACACACAUACACACACACACUCACAUUCUCCUUCUAUGUUCAUAGCCUCUGAGUUACAAAAUAAUAAAAAAACAACACUGUUUUUGGUUGGUUUGCUUGUUUAGUGUUAGUUGGUCCUUAAUUCUGCAUCUUGUUUUAGG